GGGUCACAUAGCUCUGUCCCGGUUGCUGCUGUUACUACCGUGAAAUUUCCUGAAUUUGAACUAUUUCAUUUGUCCCUGUCAUUCAUUUCCUAACUCAGUCGGUAUCGGUUUUUCAAGAGAGCGUCUUCAUAUCUCUGGAAAGUAGGAUGGAGGAAGGUUUUUCCUGCCGUCCUCAAAUACCCUGCUGGGUUUGGCUUUCCUUUUGCUUGCUCCCCAAGGCUCCUUUUGGAUAACAAGUUACUGAUCUGGCUGCAAGUGUAUCUCUCAGUGCUGGAAGUAACGCAGUUCAACCGGGGCUGCAGGAUCUUCGCUGCUUUUUCUCCUACAGGUAAGACGAAUGAUUGUCGUUAUGGAAGUGAAACUUUCUGGAACCACCAGAAGAUAACUGAUACGUGCUUGAUGGAGUUUCCUUCUAUCUUUUGAUUCCUCAGGGGGGAGAAAUAAGACAAAAUCACUAUCCUUCGUGGAUGUGACGGAAGUACCCAAUGCGGGACUUGAUGGUACAGUACUUUGAAAAAUAAAAAAUAGGAACCACAAAUUUUGAGAUGCUAGAAGGAAGUUUUUAUUCAUGUCUAAGCAUGGGUGUAGCCAGGGGGGUGUAGGGAGCAGCUGCCCCCCCAUCAAGUAAUUUUUUAAAAAAACAAACCUAAAUGAUUAAUUGUAUUGCAGAUAACUUUGUUCUGGCACCUCCAAACAUAAAGCCUGCCUCCUUGUCUAAGGAUGGCUAACACAAUUUAAUCUGGAGUGAGCCCCAUUGUAGUACAGAUGGCUCCCCAUUUACACGGGGGUACCAUUACAAGCCCCUGCGCAUGCGCAAAAUCACGUAUAAUGGGGAGCACCCUGAAAUGACCCACUCCAGAGCCCAAAGAGCCCCCCAAAAGCCUCCCUGACCCCGUCCGUCAGUUCUGCCAGUCCACCGAGCUGCCCUGCCUCUCCGGCUGGUGGGUGCAAACAGGAGUGACAGGGCAGCUUGCAGGUGGCAGAGGGACUCAGGAGCAGCAGCAGUUUCACCUGCGAUACACCUCCAAGUGAAACCGCCACCUGGGAGCAACAUGGACGGAGGAGGAGGAAGCGGCAGCAUCAAAUGACUCCGCUUGGUACUGCGAUGCAAGCCCCCAGACUUUGCAGAGGAGCCCUGAGCUUGCGUGAUGAUGACGCACAUGGCGAAAAGGAAGAGUACUAGAUUCUGAUGGGUGCUAGAUCCCGAUGGAUCCCCUUGCCCACGCGUAUUUGGCCAAGCGGAGAACCAAUAAGAAUAAUAAUUGGAGAAAAGUUCGGGCCAAAGAAAGCUCUGCUCUGGCACAGUAUAGGGCCAUUGUUUUGUUCAGAGGGACAAACGGAGGGAGAGAACAUUAGAUCCAGAAUCAUUGAGUCCUUUGAGUGUUAGCAGAUGUUGCAGAAUAAACUGGGUCAGGUCAAGGGUUGUAACAUUGGGUGAGAACCAAAAGAGGACAAAGAAGAGAUACAAUGUUUUAUCUCACUGUAUGACCUCUCUCGCUCAUGUGGCACUCAGCAAUCUGAGCUGAGGCUCCUUGGACUGAAUUCUACGUAAGUCCUAGAAAAGGCAUGUUCUGGGGUUGUUCUCAGGAUGGGGCCAGAGAGCAGGGAUUUAAACUGGAUCCUAAGCCCAUCCAGCUCAGUCAUGUAACUGGGCAACUCAGCAUAGAAUAUGUUAUUAAAGGCUUGUUUUCCUUCUGCCAGGCUUGGGAAGAGCAGAAGCAGCACAGCUGAUAAGCAGGGUUUGAAUCUGACAUAACUUUAUGCCAGCUGAAUUUGAACCUGCUUGAUUUACGACCGCUUCUAGUCCAAAGAGUUGCUCCCUAAGAAAGUAACGUCACUGAAGUGAGAUCUCAGUGCUCCACAGUGAUCUCUCCCGUUUCAAUUGACAAUGAGAACAAAAAAGAGAGAUUUAUAACCAACUGCAGGAAGCAGUGCGAUAUUUUUCAGCUUUAUAACAUAAACAAACUUCACUUUUUUCUCUAUUUUUCCCAGUUGGUGACUCUGCAAGAAGUAGCUGAAAGAGAAGAGAUUGAACAUCAUGGCCAAUAAUGGCCUGCAUUCUCCAAUCCCUUUGGGUGCUGAAGAGGAAUAUAAUAGAGUACACAAUGCAACCGAGCUCCCAGACUACACUGAUUUUGUUGACGAAAUACCAUCAUAUGAUGUAACGAUUAUUAUUAUCCUUGUCUGCAUUUUCCUCAUUAGUGUCCUUGGACUUUUAGGGAAUGGAACUGUCAUCUGGAUUCUCGGAUUUUGCAUGAAAAGGACUGCUUUCGCAACCUAUAUCCUGAAUUUGGCUGUUGCUGACCUUGGGGUCCUCCUAGGCUCAGUUCCUUGGAGGAUAAUUGUCUUCCUCGAUAAUUCUCAUUCGCAUCUUGUCAAUUUCGAUGUUAACUAUUUAGUGAUCAUAAGUGCCUAUUGCUUUUUCUCCACGAACCUCAUCGGUCAAUUUCUGCUGACAGCCAUCAGCAUCGACAGCUGUGUUUCUGUCGUCUUCCCCAUUUGGCAUCGAUGUCGCCGGCCACCCAACCUGUCCAUCAUUGUGUGUGCCAUCAUAUGGAGCCUUGCUUUCCUGCUCACUCUCGUACACAUCCUUAAUGUCAUUGUAGUCUUUGGAGUAGCUUUUGCUUGGUACCAGUUGCUGGUGAGUGCUGUGUUUUGCCUCCCGCUCAUGAGUGUCUCCACUCUGAUCCUCUUCAUCAAACUUUGCUUGAGAUCACAGCAGAGGCAGCAAGGAAAUGUUUUAAUAGCCAUCCUGAUGGUGCUCCUCUUUUCCCUCUUGUUUGCUUUUCCAUUUACUUUCCUUUAUUUAAUAUUUUCUUUCCCCCAUCUUACAUUUCGUAAUGCCCUACACGUUGGGGCCUUAUGCUGCUGCCUAAACAGCAGCAUUAAGCCACUGAUUUAUUUCCUGGUUGGGAGGAGAAAGGGGGGUCAAUCUAGGGAGAGCAUGAAAGUCAUACUCCAGAGGCUUUUCAAGGAGGAGGAAGGCUGCAGAGAGGAGGCCAGUAAUGUCCCAAUCCAGACCCAGGUGUGAUACGUUCAAAAUAAUCAGAGAGCUCCACAAUUACACCUCUUGCUAUGACAAUCUAUGUUCCCUUUAGCCCUCUUUUUUUUUUUUUCUUCUUUUUUUUUUUUGUAAACCUGCUGCUUUUCACUAUUGUUUCUAUAUGCCUGGGGAGGAACAGAGAUGAACCCUCAUCUCAUUUCUUCAACUGCUGAUAUGUAAUGCUUUUAGUACUUGGUGUUUGCUUCACUUUCUGAUUGCUCUUUGCUUCAUUUAAAGUGAUUUCCUGUGGCUAUUUUUUGGUGUCAUUUCAGGGGUAUAGUAAAAGUCUCCUGGACUGAAGGACAUUUAAAAAAAAAAUCAGCUUGAAAUAUUUCCUUAAGAGAUGUAAUGGGAGGGGGGAAUCAUGCCACUUCAAUCAUCUGUAAGGAGAUUCUAAAUUAUGUAGAAAAUAGGUUCUUUUCAUAGUGGAUGAAUACACACACACACACACACACACACUACACACACACACACACACACACACACACACACAGCUCCCAAACCUUUGAAAAUACAUCAGAUAACUCCUUUGAAAAUACUCCAACUAAUAAUAAAAAUAAUAAAAAUAAAACUACUAAAAAUAAAAUAACUAAAAAUACAGUGGUACCUCGGGUUACAGACGCUUCAGGUUACAGACGCUUCAGGUUACAGACUCAGCUAACCCAGAAAUAGUACCUCAGGUUAAGAACUUUACUUCAGGAUGAGAACAGAAAUCGGGCAGCGGCAGCGGGAGGCCCCAUUAAGUAAAGUGGUACCUCAAGUUAAGAACAGUUUCAUGUUAAGAACGGACCUCCAGAAUGAAUUAAGUUCUUAACCUGAGGUACCACUGUAACAAUAUUAAAAAUAAUAAUAAAGAGAUAAUAGAACAUGCCAAUAGCAGUAUGUGUUAGGAUUCACUCCCUGUGUUGCAGUCAUGGGGUUGUUUUUAUCACAUGACGGUGUAUGUUUUCAUUCCACAUUGUGGGAAGUGACAGAGACAGGAUGUCUUUAUUACUGUGUUUUCAUGAUGUAGGAUUUUUGUCCUCUGUUCUCUCUCUUUGCUGUCUAAUUCUGAGGAGGAAGGAGCUGAGUUACGAUGCCCCGAGUGUAUAUAUGUAAUUAAAAGUAGUUUAGCCAAAUUGCUGCGCUACUGAGUCUGAACACUGAUGGCCUUUAUGCUACUGAUCCUGAAGUGUGCUGACGCAUCUUGGUAUCAGUCGCAGUGAUGUUCGGACUGGAGAAUGCUUGUGAAUCUCCCGAACGAACGACCAGGAGGGAGAGAACAUGCCAGUCAGGCAUGUGUCUCUGCCAGAUUCCUACUCAUGUGUAGGACCUCCUGACAGUAUGGAUAUUAAAUGGUAUUUUCAACAACAACAACAAAUAUCAAUAGACCAUUGUGGAGGAAGUACUAUAAUUGCUCGUAUAGGCCUGGCACAAUAGAAAAGUUUUCAGCAAGAACUUAAAAGUUGACACAGAAAGUGGCUACCAAAUCUCUAUCAGCAGGGUGUUCCACAGGACCAGGCUUAUAUUCUAUUUCUUGUCAAAUGAACCUCAACAACAGAGAGAAUGACCAAAGAUGCUCAUGCAAAUGGUCUGAUUCCUCAAGCUGGAAUAUAAGUGUUCAGGUGAUCCCUGAGGUAUCCUAGAGCCAAGUUGUUUGGGGCUGUGUAAAUCAAUACAAGAAACUUGAACCUGGCUCAGGAGCAGACAGAGCAGCUGUUUUAAUAAUGGCAUCACAUGUUCUCAAUGAGAAGCUCCCAUCAGCAAUCUGGCAGCAGCAUACUGCAUCUGCUGGAACUUCCAAACCAGACCCAAGAGCAGCCCCACAUCAAGCACAUCACAGUAAUCUAGUCAUGAGGUUACCAAUACAUGCUCUUGCAGUAGUUAGGCUAUCUCUGUCCACGAAUUGCCAUAGCUGGAAAAGGCUCUCCUAGUCACAGAGGACACCUGAGCAUCUAGUGACAAAGAUGUAUCCAGAAGUACUGCCAAACUUCACACUUGCUCCUUCAAAGAGAGUGCAACCCCACUCAGAACAGGGAAAUUGCCAAUUUCCAAAACACAGGAACCACCUACCCAAAGAGCCCCCAUCUUCAUAGAAUUCAGCCCUCAUCCAGACCACUACUGCAUCCAGACACCGGUUCAAAGCUUUCACAGCCUCUCCCAAUUCCUAUGUUAUGGAAAGGGAAAGCUGCGUGUCAGCAUCAUUACACUGCUGAUACCUUGCUCCAAAACUCCUAAUGACCGCAUCCAAUGGCUUCAUAUAGAUAUUAAAUAGAUAUUAAUGUUAAUUGGAGUUCAAAUGAUAAUACCGUAAGGACAAUAUAUCAUGUAAAGAAGCUUAACAUAUAUUCGAUCUGCUUCAGUAUUUUAACAUUUGCAUGUUUUAAAGUAUGAUUGUGAGUUUUCUUGGUUUUUCUGUUUAUUCAUUUGUAAGCUGCUUUGGGGUGUUUUUUUUUCUUUUUUUACAAUCAAGCAGUGUAUAAAUUUUAUGAAAUAAAUGAAAAGAGUAAAUGU